GUUGAGGGUCGGGUAAUCGCGAAAGCUUGCUUUCGAGGAAAGUCCGGGCUCCCAUAAAGCAGGAUGCCGGAUAACGUCCGGCGGGGCCUUUGGGCCUUAGGGAAAGUGCCACAGAAAACAAACCGCCCUGACAGCUAUUGGCUGUUAGGGUAAGGGUGAAAAGGUGCGGUAAGAGCGCACCGCCAUUUUGGUAACAAAAUGGGCAGGGUAAACCCCAUCCGGAGCAAGACCAAAUAGGGGCGGCGCAUGGCGCGCUUUAUCGCUGUCGCCCGGGUAGGUCGCUUGAGGGUAUGGGUAACCAUACUCCCAGAUGAAUGAUUACCGUUCAAAAUCCGAUUUUGAAUACAGAACCCGGCUUACAGACCCUCAACCUUU
rnacentral:RNase_P_RNA from 1 species